rnacentral:rRNA from 1 species
GGGAGUGCUCGAAAGAGAACCUGAACACACAGGUGCUGCAUGGCUGUCGUCAGCUCGUGUCGUGAGAUGUUGGGUUAAGUCCCGCAACGAGCGCAACCCUUGCCAUUAGUUGCUACGAAAGGGCACUCUAAUGGGACUGCCGGUGACAAACCGGAGGAAGGUGGGGAUGACGUCAAGUCCUCAUGGCCCUUAUAGGUGGGGCUACACACGUCAUACAAUGGCCGGUACAGAGGGUAGCCAACCCGCGAGGGGGAGCCAAUCCCACAAAGCCGGUCGUAGUCCGGAUCGCAGUCUGCAACUCGACUGCGUGAAGUCGGAAUCGCUAGUAAUCGUGGAUCAGAAUGUCACGGUGAAUACGUUCCCGGGCCUU